AACGAACGCUGGCGGCAUGCCUAACACAUGCAAGUCGAACGACACCUUCGUGUCUAUUUGCUCUCGGGUGCGUAACGCGUGGGACCCUUCCCUUAUGUUCGGAAUACCUCCCCUACAUGGGUGCUAAUACCGGUUAAUUUCUUCUGACCAAAGAUUUAUCGCCUUUGGUUGGGCCCGAGUUGGAUUAGCUUUUUGGUAGGGUAAAAGCCUACCAAGGAGACGAUACAUAGCUGGUAUGAGAGGAUGAGCAGCCACACUGGGACUGAGACACGGCCCAGACUACUACGGGAGGGAGGAGAGGGGAAUAUAGGAAAAUGGGGGAAAGGAUGAAGGAGCAAGGACGGGAGAGUGAUGAAGGCGGGAGGGAAGAAAAGCAGUUUUAAACGGGAUGAUAAUGACAGUACCGGGAGAAUAAGCACCGGCUAACUACGUG
rnacentral:rRNA from 1 species